UAUUAAAACACCGGUUCUCAUACGAUUACCGAAGUUAAGUAACUUCAAGCCUGGUCAGUACCUAGAUGGUGACCGUUUUGGAAUAACAGGUGCUGUAAG